UAGGGAAUCUUCCGCAAUGGGCGAAAGCCUGACGGAGCAACGCCGCGUGAGUGAUGAAGGUCUUCGGAUCGUAAAACUUUGUUAUUAGGGAAGAACAAAUGUGCAAGUAACUAUGCACGUCUUGACGGUACCUAAUCAGAAAGCCACGGCUAACUACGUGCCAGCAGCCGCGGUAAUACGUAGGUGGCAAGCGUUAUCCGGAAUUAUUGGGCGUAAAGCGCGCGUAGGCGGUUUUUUAAGUCUGAUGUGAAAGCCCACGGCUCAACCGUGGAGGGUCAUUGGGAACUGGAAGACUUGAGUGCGGAAGAGGAAGGUGGAAUUCCAUGGGUAGCGGUGAAAUGCGCAGAAGUAUGGAGGAACACCAGUGGCGAAGGGGACUUUCUGGUGUGUAACUGACGCUGGUGUGGGAAAGCGGGGGGGUCAAACAGG
rnacentral:rRNA from 1 species